GUCCGCGUAGCUCAGUGGUAGAGCGCGAGAUUGCAAUCGUUAUAUAGCAGGGAAUCUUGAGGUCGCGUGUUCGACCCACGCCGCGGACU